UUCGUCCUACGGGACGCAGCAGUGGGGGAUAUUGCACAAUGGGGGAAACCAUGAUGCAGCGACGCCGCGUGAGUGAAGAAGUAUUUCGGUACGUAAAGCUCUAUCAGCAGGGAAGAAUAAUGACGGUACCUGACUAAGAAGCCCCGGCUAACUACGUGCCAGCAGCCGCGGUAAUACGUAGGGGGCAAGCGUUAUCCGGAUUUACUGGGUGUAAAGGGAGCGUAGACGGCUGUGCAAGUCUGAAGUGAAAUGCCGGGGCCCAACACCGGAACUGCUUUGGAAACUGUACAGAUAGAGAG
rnacentral:rRNA from 1 species